rnacentral:rRNA from 1 species
UACGAAGGGAACUAGCGUUGUUCGGAAUCACUGGGCGUAAAGCGUGAGUAGGCGGCUGUAUAAGUCAGAUGUGAAAUCCUUGAUCUCAAGUCAAGAACUGCAUUUGAAACUGUACAGCUAGAGAGUAGUAGGGGGUAAUGGAAUUCCAAGUGUAGAGGUGAAAUUCGUAGAUAUUUGGAGGAACACCAGUAGCGAAGGCGUUUACCUGGGCUACAACUGACGCUGAGUCACGAAAGUGUGGGGAGCAAACAGG